UACGUAGGGCGCGAGCGUUGUCCGGAUUUAUUGGGCGUAAAGAGCUCGUAGGCGGCUUGUCGCGUCGAAUGUGAAAACUCGGGGCUCAACUCCGAGCUUGCAUUCGAUACGGGCAGGCUAGAGUUCGGUAGGGGAGACUGGAAUUCCUGGUGUAGCGGUGAAAUGCGCAGAUAUCAGGAGGAACACCGGUGGCGAAGGCGGGUCUCUGGGCCGAUACUGACGCUGAGGCACGAAAGCGUGGGGAGCGAACGGG
rnacentral:rRNA from 1 species